rnacentral:rRNA from 1 species
AUUGAACGCUGGCGGCAGGCCUAACACAUGCAAGUCGAGCGGAUGAAGGGAGCUUGCUCCUGGAUUCAGCGGCGGACGGGUGAGUAAUGCCUAGGAAUCUGCCUGGUAGUGGGGGAUAACGUCCGGAAACGGGCGCUAAUACCGCAUACGUCCUGAGGGAGAAAGUGGGGGAUCUUCGGACCUCACGCUAUCAGAUGAGCCUAGGUCGGAUUAGCUAGUUGGUGGGGUAAAGGCCUACCAAGGCGACGAUCAGUAACUGGUCUGAGAGGACGAUCAGCCACACUGGAACUGAGACACGGUCCAGACUCCUACGGGAGGCAGCAGUGGGGAAUAUUGGACAAUGGGCGAAAGCCUGAUCCAGCCAUGCCGCGUGUGUGAAGAAGGUCUUCGGAUUGUAAAGCACUUUAAGUUGGGAGGAAGGGCAGUAAGUUAAUACCUUGCUGUUUUGACGGUACCAACAGAAUAAGCACCGGCUAACUUCGUG